rnacentral:rRNA from 1 species
AGUGAACGCUGGCGGUAGGCCUAACACAUGCAAGUCGAACGGCAGCACAGGAGAGCUUGCUCUCUGGGUGGCGAGUGGCGGACGGGUGAGGAAUACAUCGGAAUCUACUCUGUCGUGGGGGAUAACGUAGGGAAACUUACGCUAAUACCGCAUACGACCUACGGGUGAAAGCAGGGGAUCUUCGGACCUUGCGCGAUUGAAUGAGCGGAUGUCGGAUUAGCUAGUUGGCGGGGUAAAGGCCCACCAAGGCGACGAUCCGUAGCUGGUCUGAGAGGAUGAUCAGCCACACUGGAACUGAGACACGGUCCAGACUCCUACGGGAGGCAGCAGUGGGGAAUAUUGGACAAUGGGCGCAAGCCUGAUCCAGCCAUACCGCGUGGGUGAAGAAGGCCUUCGGGUUGUAAAGCUCUUUUGUUGGGAAAGAAAUCCAGCUGGCUAAUACCCGGUUGGGAUGACGGUACCCAAAGAAUAAGCACCGGCUAACUUCGUGCCAGCAGCCGCAGUAA